UCUGCUGUGCAACUGCCUUUAAGUUUGUUCCUUGAAGACUGUGCAUCCCAGAAAGCCAACUGUAUCCUGAGCUGCAUCCCCACAGCAUGGCCGGGAAGUUGAGGGAGAUGAUUCUGCCCCUCUGCUCUGAGAGGCAUUCACGUUCUCCCACAGUGGUGUAGAGAACUGCUGACUUCAAGAUAGAGAAAACUAAGGUGGAAGGAGUUAGAAGGGUGACCCUGGAGAUCCUGGAAUACCAUUUUUAUGUCACGUCAACAAAAAUUAGGAUGAAUUCAGAGAGAUCACAGGCAAUUACAGCAUGAGCCUGCAUUAAUUGCUUUUUUUCCACAUUGUGUAUAAAAUGAUCUUUGAAAUGCUCUUCACUGAAAAGAUAGGUGACCUAACUCUGGGAAACAUCAAAGAACAGGAGAACAAUAGAGAAUUGAUCACUUACAAUUCUUUAUUGAUCCUAUGUUUUGUCAACACCAACCAUCUCUUCCCAACGAAAACAAUAAUCACUAAUCCUGCAUUGUAGGAGGCCUGGAUGAAGUUGGGAAUAUGAAUGAGUGGUAGAAGGAAGCACCAAUAAAGCAAAUAACUGAAUAAACUUAAA